rnacentral:lncRNA from 1 species
CACCUUUUUUUUAUUUUUUUUAUUUUAAUAAAUUAGGCAACCCCAAUCAAUGAAAAUGAAAUCAUCUUUCCCCAAUUUUCCCAAUUCCUUUCCGUCAAAGUUCAACCUGACAGCAGAGAGAACUCAGAGAAGAGCAUCAAACCUUUCUUGAGUUCUUUUCUUGAAUUCCUUCCCGUCAAACCGGUCACCUGAGUUCACUAAUUGAGUUAGUAGUGACGUGUAUGGUGAACGUGAACCCACUGGUGCGAAGUGGUAUUACCAUUUUUUACCUUCUUCGUUGUUGAUUAUAUACUCACCAUAUGAAAUUUACUGUCUGGACCGAGUAGACCUGGAAGGGUACAAAUUGCUUCCUGUCAUAUUAUCGCAAUAAUUUUCAUUGGAUUUUGAUUCCUAUUUCUCAUGGAUCUGGCUGUGAGUGGAUUCCCCGUCUUAACCUUUUUUUAAAUAUAUCACUCGCAAGUCUUUAAAUUCGAUUCAUUCUCUAUUAAUUCUUAAAUCGGUGGAAGUUCUAUUCUGUGGGCCUGUGGCAUAUUCUGCAACAUCUUUUCAAUUUCGAUUUGCUAUUAUGAAGUUUUGAGACAAACUCGAUAUGACUUAUAAGUUAAGGUGGGGAAAAGAUUGGAUCACUUUUGGUUUCAAACUUUCAGUAUGAAUGAAAUUCCCUUUUCAAUAUGAGUUCACUGAUUGGCUGUAUUUUGAUGCAAACUAUGAAAUUAUGUCAUAAUACUCAAGUUAUUUUAUUUAGAAGUAAAAGAUAAAAGUUUGGUGUAAACGCGUGCUUGUAACCUCGGGAAUUCACGUUUAUAACUCUCAACUUGAAAGAUUCAAA